rnacentral:rRNA from 1 species
CAACGACGAAAACCUUACCUACCCUUGACAUGCCACUAACGAAGCAGAGAUGCAAAGUUAGGUGACCGAAAGGGAAGUGGACACAGGUGCUGCAUGGCUGUCGUCAGCUCGUGUCGUGAGAUGUUGGGUUAAGUCCCGCAACGAGCGCAACCCUUGCCGAUAGUUGCUACGAAAGGGCACUCUAUCGGGACUGCCGGUGACAAACCGGAGGAAGGUGGGGAUGACGUCAAAUCCUCAUGGCCCUUAUGGGUAGGGCUUCACACGUCAUACAAUGGUCGGUACAGAGGGCUGCCAACCCGCGAGGGGGAGCUAAUCCCAGAAAACCGAUCGUAGUCCGGAUUGCAGUCUGCAACUCGACUGCAUGAAGUCGGAAUCGCUAGUAAUCGCGGAUCAGCAUGUCGCGGUGAAUACGUUCCCGGGUCUU